UACGGGGGGGGCAAGCGUUGUUCGGAAUUACUGGGCGUAAAGGGCUCGUAGGCGGCCAACUAAGUCAGACGUGAAAUCCCUCGGCUUAACCGGGGAACUGCAUCUGAUACUGGAUGGCUAGAGUGCGGCAGAGGGGGAUGGAAUUCCGCGUGUAGCAGUGAAAUGCGCAGAUAUCAGGAAGAACACCCGUGGCGAAGGCGGCUCUCUGGGACGGUACUGACGCUGAGACGCGAAAGCGUGGGGAGCGAACAGG
rnacentral:rRNA from 1 species